UCUCUGCUGCAUACCUCUACCCGAAAGAGUACGUAUACCUACCCAGCCUACCAUAACUCAGAGUAGUUUUGAAAGAGAGUACAGAAUAAACCAGAGAGUGAGAGCAGUCAGAAGACAGCAGAGUAAUGAGGAUGAUGAGAGUAGGUGUUCCUCUGGAUAUUCAUCAGAGGGAGAACCCGAGGAAUCUGCCAGCGUAUUGUAUUACAAGAUUGGGAGCUAUUUUUGGUAUAACCUAUUUCAAGCUGCCUCCGGGCUUGGAGACGAAACUUUCUGUGCUCCAGUUUUUAUUUUUAUCAUUCUUAAUUUAGAUGGAAAUAUUGGACGUCGGGUUCUUUUUAUUUACUGUCUUCUCAUGUACUUUGGACAGGUAGUGCGCACUUAUAUUGUACU
rnacentral:misc_RNA from 1 species